AUGCCUGAAGCGGAAACGAGUGCCUCCAUUAGAUAACAACAAGUCUAAAAAAAGUGCUUAUUUCUUGAUAAUAUUUAACCUUACAAUAGCAGCAAGAAUCCAAAUUGUCAUAUUUUAUACCUUCAAGGAAUCAAAUUAAAAAAUAAAGGCA